rnacentral:rRNA from 1 species
AGCGAACGCUGGCGGCAGGCCUAACACAUGCCAGUCGAACGAACCUUUCGGGGUUAGUGGCGGACGGGUGAGUAACACGUGGGAACGUGCCUUUAGGUUCGGAAUAACUCAGGGAAACUUGUGCUAAUACCGAAUGUGCCCUUCGGGGGAAAGAUUUAUCGCCUUUAGAGCGGCCCGCGUCUGAUUAGCUAGUUGGUUGAGGUAAUGGCUCACCAAGGCGACGAUCAGUAGCUGGUCUGAGAGGAUGAUCAGCCACAUUGGGACUGAGACACGGCCCAAACGGCGACGGGAGGCAGGGGGGGGAGCUCGGCCGCAGUGGGCGAACGCCCGACGGAGCUAGGCGGCGUGAAAGAUGAUCGUCUGAGGAUUUAAUAUUGCUUUCUCGGGGAAAAAUAAGACCGGUCCGCGGAGAAGAAGCCCCGGCUACCGUCGAGACAGCAGCGGCCGUAAUAAAGGGAAGAGCACCCGUCUGAAC